rnacentral:rRNA from 1 species
CUGGGGGAAUUUUGCGCACUGGGGGCAGCCUGAUGCAGCGACGCCGCGUGGAGGAUGAAGGCCUUCGGGUUGUAAACUCCUUUUGUUGGGGACGAUAAUGAUGGUACCCUAUGAAUAAGCCCCGGCUAACUCUGUGCCAGCAACCGCGGUAAUUCAAC